CUACGGGUUGCUGCAGUGGGGAAUAUUGGGCAAUGGGCGCAAGCCUGACCCAGCAACGCCGCGUGAGGGAAGAAUGUCUUCGGAUUGUAAACCUCUGUCCUUGGGGACGAAAAAAAUGACGGUACCCAAGGAGGAAGCUCCGGCUAACUACGUGCCAGCAGCCGCGGUAAUACGUAGGGAGCAAGCGUUGUCCGGAAUUAUUGGGCGUAAAGGGUGCGUAGGCGGCGCUGUAAGUCAGAUGUGAAAUCCCCGGGCUUAACUCGGGAGUUGCAUUUGAAACUACAGUGCUUGAGUAAAGAAGGGGUAAGUGGAAUUCCUAGUGUAGCGGUGGAAUGCGUAGAUAUUAGGAGGAACACCAGUGGCGAAGGCGACUUACUGGUCUUUUGCUGACGCUGAGGCACGAAAGCGUGGGGAGCAAACAGGAUUAGAUACCCUCGUAGUC
rnacentral:rRNA from 1 species